rnacentral:rRNA from 1 species
UACGUAGGGUGCGAGCGUUAAUCGGAAUUACUGGGCGUAAAGCGUGCGCAGGCGGUUUGUUAAGUCCGUUGUGAAAGCCCCGAGCUCAACUUGGGAAUUGCAGUGGAUACUGGCAGGCUGGAGUACGGUAGAGGAAGGUGGAAUUCCCGGUGUAGCAGUGAAAUGCGUAGAUAUCGGGAGGAACACCUGUGGCGAAAGCGGCGCACUGGACCACAACUGACGCCGAGGCGCGAAAGCUAGGGGAGCAAACAGG